UUCUGUCCCAUUGUUGAUUGGAGGUAUGACUUCAGACGUCUACGGGUGCUAAAUAAUCAUUCUGCUGUUGCUGUUGUGACUGGAACUACUUGGAGAAGCUUAAUCCACUUCCCUACUUCACAUAACAUUUCUCCAACUGCAGGCUCUUGUGUAAUGUACUUUCUUACAGUUGUUUUUUAUUAGCGAUAUCGGUUAACAUGUUAAAGUGCAAGUGCAGUCUCUCAAUGCUUAGGUCAUUUUUGAAAAACUCAGUUGAUUUUUCCAAUUUUGUUUCACCUCUGUUUACUAAAACUCUUAAUCUGCAAUGACCUGUGGGAGUCCAGCAAUGCAAGAUUGCACCAUUUCACAUACUUCAAUGUAAAUAGCUUUGUAGCAUUCCUUUGUGCGGUGAGCUGGUUUAAUUGUUUUCAUACUUCUUUGGUAUACUUUGAUUCUGAGGAAGUGAAUGAUCAUCAACUUGUGAAGGUUUUUCUUUUAAACACAAUUCCCAAAAGUGUUCAAAUCUAUCACGCCUCCAUUCAGUAUACAAGUUGAGCCCUCAUGUUUUUUCCUGAUCAGCAACACUUAGAUGAGGGCAUUGAAUUUUUUCAUUGACAUCCUCUACUGUGUUCAUUGCAUGACAAUAGACAUAAAAAGAAAUAAGUCUUGAAUUGUAACACUGACUCAAGGUAGCCUGCACAUUUGUAACCUGCCUCUGUUUUGUCCUCUGCAGAAAAUGUUUCAAAAAAAUUCUAGAAGUUCUUGAAAGUUUUUCAAUAUUCUCAAGAUACUAGAAGCUUGCAUAGUCGAUUGAGUUGGGCAAAGGGGUCAUAGACCAGCUUGAUCAUUGGCACUCUCACAGCAUAUGCUUCUGAAAAGUCCUCUCCUUUUGUUGGAUUCACUUACGGUGUUUAUUAAGUCCUUGUUAGCCGAGGACAAGUCAUAUUAUCCCUUGUAUCUGACGGAUGGCCACUGGCAAAUUCCACUUGCAGAGGCUCCAAUGGAUAUGGUAUCGAAGAGGAAUUAUUUCAGAAUUUUGGGGAUGAUGGGAAGGAAAAUCGUAGGACAAUUGCCUUUGCAAGCAGAGCACUGACUAAAUAUGAGAGAAAUUAUACUGUAACUGAAUGUGAAGCUUUAGUGAUAGUUUGGGGAUUCAAAAAUUCAGAGAUUAUCUGUGGGGGAACGAAACUAUCAUUUAUACUGAUCACAGAGCUCUCAUAUUUUUCAAGAAAUUUAGGCUGAUGCAUUCACGGUUAACAAAGUGGACAGUAUUUAUGCAGCAGUUUGAGUAUGAGAUAAAAUAUGUUAAAGGUACACAAAACAGGGUGAUGGACGCAUUAUCCAGGUUACCACUAGGAGCAAAUGGUGAAUUAGGUCAAGAUUUAGAUGAAGGGCAUGUAAUAUUAUUUUAUAUAAAAGGAAUUCCUGUAGACAAGAAAACAGAAUAUUUGUAAAUUCAUGAGGAGAUAUCAGAAUCAUGAUGAGGUAUGGAAAAUGGUAAAGAGAGACUUGGAUAUGCCAAAUGCUAGCAAUAAGUUGCCAAAAUACUACAAAGUACAUGGGAGAGUUUCAUUUAGAAGAACCAAUGAAAAUUCAGAGGAUUGGAAGGUGUGCUGGCCCAGUGAAUACAUAGAUGACAUAAUUGACUACAUUCAUUUGAGUUUGACAUGUAGGUGCUAAAGAGUGUGUACAGAAAUUGGGAGAAACUGUAAUUUUUGACAAUUUGGUAAAGAGUGUGAAUAACCAUGUUAAGACAUGUGACAAAUGUCAAAGAGAAAAAGUUACAAAUCAAAUAUGCAGGCUUCCAAUGCAAAAUAUUAAUCCAAAAGACUUAAUGGAUUUCUUAGCAGUGGAUUUUUAUGGCCAUUUGAUGAAAACAAAAUGACAUUUUGCUUGUUUUUUGUGGUAUUGGAAGUGUUUUGUAAAUUUGUAAAGCUCUAUCCUUUGUGCAAAGCAACUGGCAAGGCAAUUUUGGCUAAGUUAGAGAAGGACUACUUUGUGAAAAUUGAUAAACCCAAAUCUCUGCUUUCUGACUGUGCGUCACAGUUUACUGGUAAGAAGUGAAAGGGUGGUUGCUAGUCAUGAAAUAACAAUACAUACAUUGAUUUAUCAUCUGGCAGGAAAUCCUGCGAAACUUAUAUGAGGGAAAUUGGAAGAUUGUGCUGUACGUAAUGUAGCAACAAGUGUAAUUCAUGGGGACGCACCAUAGAAAAUAUCAAGGAUGUGAUGAAUACUGUGAGUCAUGAUGUAACAGGGUUUACUCCUUAUGAGAUUGUGAAGGGAGACAGGUCUUUAAGUUUCACAGAGGAGACACUGUUUUUUCCUCAUAGGGAAUAAUUAAAUUUGGAUGAGAAAAAGGAAGUAACGAUGGGAUUAGUAGGAAAAGGGUUAUAGGUGAGGAAGAAAAGACAUGAUGACAGGAUAAAGAGGGUAGAUACUAAAACAGGGGACCUAGUGUUGGUUAAGACCUAUUAGAAAUCUAAGGAAAUAAAUAGCAAAGUGUCAAAUUUUUCAAUGUGUACAGAGGACCUUUCGAAGUGGCUAAUGUUCCACAUCUGAACGCAUUCUAUGUGAUUUAUCCAAAGUCAAAGGAGAAAUUUGCUCUUAAGAAUGUUGUUGAUAUAAAACUAUAUAAAGCAAGAACAACACAGAUGAAAACUGUGGAUUUAAUGAAGGGAAUGAAUUUUCUUUGCAAGAUUUGGGAUCCAGGAGGAAAUACAGAGAUGAUUGGGUGUGAAGAGUGAACCUCAGGGGUUCACUACCCUGUAGUAAACAUGUGCAGUGGUGUGCAUAGGCCCCAAAAAAGCUGCAACAGUGCUGUUUCAUUCUUUAUUUUUCUGCACUGCUUCCUACUCUUCUGCUAUUAUUUAUAUCAGUAAAACCGUUCAACUAUCGAACUAUCCAGAGCAAGGACUAAGUAUACUGUGUAACCAAAGUAUCCAGGCACCUGGCUGGAGAUGACUUACAAGUUCGUGUCACCCUCCAUCGGUAAUGGUGGAAUUCAAUAAGGUGUUGGCCCAGCCUUGGCCUUUAUGACAGCUUCCACUCUUGCAGGCAUAUGUUCAGUCAGAUGUUGGAAGGUUUCUUGGUGAAUGGAGCACAUUCUUAAUGGAAUGCUGCACUGAGGAGAGAUAUCAAUGUCGGUUGGGGAGGCCUGGAAUGAAAUCGGCAUUCCAAAACAUCCCAAAGGUGUUCUAUAGGAUUCACGUAAGGACUCUGCGCAGGCCAGUCCAUUACAGGGAUGUUAUUGUCGUGUAACCAUUCCACCACAGACCAUGCAUUAUGAACAGGUGCUCUAUCAUGUUGAAAGAUCCAUUCGCCAUCCCUGAAUUGCUCUUCAACAGGGGAAGCAAGAAGGCGCUUAAAACAUCAAUGUAGGCCUGUACUGUGAUAGUGCCACGCAAAACAACAAUGGAUACAAGCCCCCUCCAUGGAAAACACGACCACACCAUAACACCACUAUCUCCGAAUUUUACUAUUGGCAUUACACAUGCUGGCAGAUGACGUUCAUCAGGCAACUGUUCAACUGUUGGCAGUCUGUCAGUCAACAGAUGAGGUUGGCCUGUACACUUUUGUGCUGUAUGUGUCCCUUCAUGUUUCCAGUUCAAUAUCACAUUGGAAACAGUGGAUCUAGGGAUGACUAGGAAUGUGGAAAUCUUGCAUACAGAUGUAUGAUGCAAGUAACACCCAAUCACCUGACCACGUUCGAAGUCCAUGACUUCCGCAGAGUACCCCAUUCUGCUCUCUCACGAUGUCUAAUGACUACUGAGGUCACUGAUAUAGAGUACCUGGCAGUAGGUGGCAGCACAAUGCACCCAAUGUGAGAAAUGUAUGUUUUUGGGGGUGUCCAGAUACUUUUGAUGACAUAGUAUAUGUAGUACCUGAUGUGACUGUAUUCUCGAAUGUGGCAUUUUUCCUGAUAAGAUAAGGAGUUAGUGAUGGAAGAGUGGUUGAGAGAUCAAAAAUAUUAAUAUAAUUAUUUGGGAACAGUUUUUUGUAGUAAGGUUGAAAGUAGUAACAAAAGCAAAGACUGGUAUGAUAAUGGGGUAAUGAAUCUGGUUUAUAAGUAAUGUGAACAGGGAAUAUGAGUUCAGCUGCUGUGCACUGAUAGUCAUUGAAUAUAAGAAAAAUUGAUAAUGCAUGACACAGGUGCAAAGUAGUGAAGCUGUGGAUGAGAUCUGGUUGGGGAUGUGUGUGGACGAAAGGAUAAGAAGUGAUUGCUGGAUGAAAUCAUAAAAUUUGAUGGGAAAUGGUAAGAUAAUGUAAUAGGUAACUACUGAAGUGCGGAAGGAAUAAGUCAGAGUAAUAGUGAAGGAAAUAUGUGUAAGGUGAAAUGAGUGAUAAUUAUAGGAAAAUUAUGAGAUGGAGUGAAAUGGUGGAGUGCAGAAGGGAUAGACGAGGAGGUUAAUGAGGAAAGAGAUAAAAUAAGAUGAGCAGUAGUUCCGAGAGGAUUAUAAAGUAAAAUGGAGGAAAGGGUAAAUAAAUUAAAAGGAAGAUUAGAGGAUUUUAUAGGGAAGCUGUUAGGGACCUUACCAUUUUGUAAUCGGAAGGAUUGAUUAGAGUUCAGUGGAGGUUGAAAGGGGAUCACUAAGAGAGAAGGUUUUGAGGAAUUAGCAAUAAAUUUGGAAAGUGCUGAUCAGUAUGGUAUGGCACAUCAUAAAACCUUGAAGGAAUUGAGUAAGUGGGGAAACAUGAGAAAUGUACACAGCAAUAACAAAUUCCAAGAGGGUAACAGAUAAUAUACUUAAAUCUACCAGACUUGUUAAAUUAGUCACCAAUCCAUACAUAUGGCUGCUUGAUGUUUCCAGAGGAAACAAGUUGCAGUGUAAAUGGUGUAAAGCUUUGAUUAUGGACUGUAAAUGAGAAGUGUUUGAAGAAUAAUUUCUUGUAUACCAGUGUACAUUUUUUUUGUUUGAAACCAGAUAGUUAUUUUGUCAUGAGAGAGUAAACUGAUGGGAAAUGUGACAUGUUUGAUGGUGUGAUGAGUCAAGUAGUUAUCAGCUCUAAGCAAUCAGAUGUGGGUUGUUAUAGUAGACUGUGGCUUAACUUUUUAAAGAUAUAAGACAAAAAGGAUAAAAGUUACAUGUAGUGACAAAUAAUAAAGAACUCUAUUAACUAAGUGCAUAUAAGUAAAUGUGGCUGUUAGAAAUGGAACUCAGUAACGUAGAGCUAGAAAUUCUUCCAAAGACACUCCAGAGUGUGUGAUGAUAAGUAGCAUAUAAAAUAGUUAAGGAUCUAGCGAGAUUAGUCUGAAGCAGUGUUGUAUAAGUUUAUUGUAAUUAUUUGUUUAUCUUAGAAUUAUUUUGUUUUUGUGCUGUAACUCACAUGUCUUGGUGUUAGUCUUUACUAUAUGAAAUAUUCAUUUCUUAGAUUGAUUUGCUUGACUGAUGUCAGUACUCUGUAAGAAUUGUGUAAAAUUCUUUUUCAUUAUUGUUAAGUGGGAUUGUACUCUUCUAUGAUGUAUUUUAUCUUGGGAGGUUCUGGGGAACAUCUCAUGAUAAAAUGGUAGGGCAUAUGUGAAGGCAUUGCUAAUUACCCAUAUAAAUCUUUUUGCUACAAUUUUCUUUUCUUUUUUUCUUUUGUUCCUACCAGCGUAUGACAUAAUGUACUACUGUGGUUUUUAAAUGUAAAGAUGUAAUUGUGAUUAUUUCGUUUGCCAACAAGGAAAUGUGUUUCUUGCAUUGUGAUUGUGGAAAAGUUUGUAAAUUUCUUUUUUGCUAUAUAAUUAAUUGUGAAAAUGCAGUCAAGAACAUUUAUAAAGAUUUAUGUAAUUUGCAAUAAUGAUAUAACAUCUGUAGGCAGGGGACAGUGAUAGCGAUAUCGAUAACCACAAACAGAGGCAGUGUAGUAGAAGGUAUGGUGGAUGAUGCGUCUGGGAAGCGUGUGCAGGAAAAUAAUGCUAUGUUUUUAUUAAAAGCACCCGGAGUUGUAUGAACAGUGACACUAAACUAUGAGAAUGUAAUUUGCUUAACCACUGCAAUUUAUAAAGCCAUUACCAGCAAACUUUAGGAGGAAGUAAACCGGACUGUGAAAGUGGCGCUAACAAGACGAACAGUGCUUUUACACAAAUGAACUUUGCUGGCAUUAAUAUUCAGGUAGUGGAACUGUUGUCUUUCGCAUUCUAUCAAGCUGUGAAAGUGGAGACUUUAAUGAACUGUGCAGUAUAUCCGACUUUCAAUGAUGUUGCAGAAGUUUGACCUGCGAGAAGAGUGGACAUUGUUUACAGUGUGCAUCAUGUGAAAGAACAAUAAACUGCAUAUUUGUGGCUAUGGUUAUGAAUGCGAUGAAUUGUGUAGUUAUGGAUAAAAGUGUCACAGACAGUGCACAAAGUGUAUAAAUGAAUGCUGUCUACAUAAUGUACUUUGCAAGAAGGGAUAUGUCAACAAUGGCUGCAUACCAGCGUCUUGUGGUUUGAUACAUGCCACUGGGUUACUGAUUCAGCUGUCUAGAAACUACGGAUCACAGUGUGGAAUGUCAGAACCCUUAAUCGCGCAGAUGGUAGAGCAGUUCACACUUGUUGUUCUCAUACUGCGAGGAAGCAGUCUUUUUCAAGUCUGAAACAACCUGAAGCCACAGUACAACGGUGCUUCCAAAGGAGAGGCUACUUCCGUGCAUAAGCGAAAACGAAGAUUCAUAUAUAGAAAUGGCUAGUUCUGAACACGAUUUUUCGUCCAGUGGCAGCAGUUAUUGUCCCUCUGAUGAAUUUUCAUCUGAAAAUGACAUGGUACCCAAAGAAAAGGAAAAGCAUAAUUUCACGGCGAAUGGUCACUUUUUCGUACCAGGUUAAGGUUAAUGGCUGUAAUAUUUUGGUAUGCAGAGAAGCAUUUUUAAUUGUGCAUGGGCUUCAGAACAAUCAAGGAUGUCUUAAGAACUUACAAAAAUACUUGCAUGAUGGUCACACCACUUCUCUAAAAGACAGAAGAGGAAAAAAAGGGAACCCAUCAAGGACAGUUUCACAAGAAGCAGUUCAGACAGCUCACAAUUUUAUAAGUAAUAUACCUAUGUAUUCCAUUCAUUUCAGCCGCUCACAGAACCCCAAUAAAGUGUACUUGGAGCAUGA